AAAAGAGAUAACUAAAGGGAGAAUACAACAGAAGUCUAUGAAAUCCUGACUGUUGUUGACAAAAUGGAAUCCUGUGGUACAGACAGGUCUAAUAAUUACAUCACCAACAAGCCAUCACAAAUUUCACAGCAUACUUCUUGAUUAACCUGCAAAAACAUAAGCAAACAAAACACACAAGGCCUCUGACUGGGCCUUAUAGCCAGGACCUUUUCAUCACUCUGGAGCCAAUACCUUCCCAAGGCGGGAUCCCCGACCCUGAAGCCGGAGAAGGCACCUCUGGUGCAAAUGUUUCUAUGCUCCCCCUAUCAUCUCAGUCCCUGAGGUUAUCGCAGAUUAGAAGGUGGAAAAAAAGCACUCACAAUGACAUGUUUUCCGAGCUCAUGCAGUCCUCCCGCACUGCUAGGGAACAGCUUAAUGCAUGGAGGCAUUCAGUGGCAGAGGUGAGCAGAGGCAGGAGACGAUGCUGAGGCUAAUGGGGGAGCAAACGGACAUGAUGAGGCGUCUGGUGGAGCUGCGGGAAAGCCAACAAGAGCACAGACCUGCACCGCAUCCAUUGUAUAACCACCUGCCCUCCUCCCCAAGUUCCAUAUCCUCCUCACCCAGAUGCCCAAAAAUGCAGGGGAGGCUCCAGGCACCUAGCCACUCCACUCCAGAGGAUGGCCCAAGCAACAGAAGGCUGUCAUUCAAACAGUUUUGAUUUGUAGUGUGGCUACAAUAAGCAAUGUGGCCUUGUCCUUCCCUCCUCCCCCACCCCACCCAGGCUACCUUGUCAGUUAUCUCACUUUUAAA